rnacentral:rRNA from 1 species
GACGAACGCUGGCGGCGUGCUUAACACAUGCAAGUCGAACGGUAAGGCCCUUCGGGGUACACGAGUGGCGAACGGGUGAGUAACACGUGGGUGAUCUGCCCUGCACUUCGGGAUAAGCCUGGGAAACUGGGUCUAAUACCGGAUAGGACUCCGGACUGCAUGGUCUGGGGUGGAAAGCUUUUGCGGUGUGGGAUGGGCCCGCGGCCUAUCAGCUUGUUGGUGGGGUGAUGGCCUACCAAGGCGACGACGGGUAGCCGGCCUGGGAGGGUGACCGGCCACACUGGGACUGAGAGACGGCCCAGACUCCUACGGGAGGCAGCGGUGGGGAAUAUUGCACAAUGGGCGCAAGCCUGAUGCAGCGACGCCGCGUGAGGGAUGACGGCCUUCGGGUUGUAAACCUCUUUCAGCAUCGACGAAGCGAAAGUGACGGUAGGUGCAGAAGAAGGACCGGCCAACUACGUGCCAGCAGCCGCCGUAA